CCGAAGUGGAAAGAUCCUUGAUUGUUCGAUUGUCCACUGCCAUGUUUGGAUCUUCCUCUUCCUCUUCAAGUGGAUGUUCUUCAAACUCAGGUUCAGGAAUAGGUGGGUUACGAUCUUGCUGAUUCCUAUUCCUUCUCACAGUCCUCUCAAAAUCAUCGUCAAAGUCCAAGAUAUGCUCACGAAUCGGAUGAGAACUCUGAGUCAUGAACUAGUACCUAAAACAAGAGAACAACAAGGUCAGUAACUAGUAAAAACACAUGGAAAUAAACAAAAAGAAAUAACAAGGGAUUAGCAAAGUUGCUAAUCCCCGGCAAUGGCGCCAAAAAUUUGUUACGAAAUAUAUAAGCACACAAAUUAAACCCUAUUUUUAUCAAAUGUAGUAAAGUAUGUAAGUAGGGAUCGUCCUGGACCGGGGAUUAGGAGGGAUUGCUAAACACUUGAAAACUGACUUAGAAACGUAAAAACA
rnacentral:lncRNA from 1 species